UAUUUUGCUUAUCGUGUCUUUUUACUUCGUUCGCUAUUUUCCCUCAAUUCUUAAAAUCGAGUCAGAACCGGGUUAAUUUCUGGAGCAGUCGGGUUAAAUUGGAAAUUUUGGGUUUUUGGGGUCUGAAUUGGAGAAAAUGGUCCGAAUGAAUAUUAAACCGCACUUCUGAAUCUUUCAAUGGAUACCUGAAUCAUUCAAUUUCAAUACUGUUUGCUUGGUUAAUCACAUUAAAACAUAGUCAGCCAGAAUCAGGAUAAAAACUGAGAAGCAUGCAUAGCUUCAUCUACUGAGUAACACUUUGAUUUUUGUUUACUGCUUUGAGAAGCAUCUGAAAUAAAUGAGAAACCAUUGGUAUACUACCAUCUUCCCAUUGAAUGGGUUAUUUUAUUUGCCCAUAGUUUUAGAAUGCUGCAUGUGUUUAUUGCUCUGAGAAGCUUAUGCGGAGAUCGUUAAUUGUGUUGAUGGUUGAUCUAUAGGGCACUCAUUUGACGAAAAUAAUUAGUGAGGUCAGUGGGACAGGCAAAAACCAUGGCGACAGAAGGUCGCUUCGAGCAAGGCAUGGUUCUAAGCGUGGUCCCGAGUUUAGAGGUGGUGCUACAAUGCAUGGCCCAAAGCCAUGAAGCCAUGCUAUUAAGCUCAAGAAAAAGGUUAGGCGCUUGGGUCUGAAGGAAGGGAAGAAUUGAACAGGUUUAAGAAUAGCAGUUUGGUUGACGCAUAGGAUGAACCACCAGGACAUGGGCGAGAAUUGGGCAAGAAGAGCCAUCCUGGUGGAGGAGAUGGUCAAGAUUCUCGGGGAACUUGACAU